UACGAAGGGGGCUAGCGUUGCUCGGAAUCACUGGGCGUAAAGCGCACGUAGGCGGCUUUUUAAGUCAGGGGUGAAAUCCUGGAGCUCAACUCCAGAACUGCCUUUGAUACUGAGAAGCUUGAGUCCGGGAGAGGUGAGUGGAACUGCGAGUGUAGAGGUGAAAUUCGUAGAUAUUCGGAGGAACACCAGUGGCGAAGGCGGCUCACUGGCUCGAUACUGACGCUGAGGUGCGAAAGCGUGGGGAGCAAACAGG
rnacentral:rRNA from 1 species